rnacentral:rRNA from 1 species
UACGUAGGAGGCGAGCGUUGUCCGGAUUUACUGGGCGUAAAGCGCGCGCAGGCGGCACUUCAAGUAAGGUGUGAAAUCUCCCUGCUCAACGGGGAGGGUGCACUUUAGACUGAGGAGCUAGAGGACGGUAGAGGGGGGUGGAAUUGCUGGUGUAGCGGUGAAAUGCGUAGAGAUCAGCAGGAACACCCGUGGCGAAGGCGGCCCCCUGGGCCGUACCUGACGCUGAGGCGCGAAGGCUAGGGGAGCGAACGGG